GAAAAAGAUAAGUCCUAUACCUACCCUGAGAAGGGAACCUUUGCAAAUGAAAGCAAGUGAACACUGACCUCACCUCUCUUUCAUAGCCCCUUAUACAUCUGGUCAGCAAGAUGGUUGUUGCCAGCCUCUCACUGCCUGAUGAAAUAAUGCUCUGCUUGAGCCUGACACCUUAGCACAGUAGCAAUGGAUCUUAAUGUCUUCUUAUUCCCAAUGAACAAAGGGCUAAAUCUAGUCAUUGCCUCUUCUGCAAAUGCUUGCUGAAGUGCAGUUUAGUUAAGCUAAACUUGUAACUUGUAACUUGUCUGGGUUGACAGACUCCCUUAUCUAAAUAAGAAAAUGUUUCAGAAAAGUGCUUCAGUCUUGGCAAGAAUUUCAUACUCACUGAAAUAAUGGUAGCAGUGGAAGUGGUGACAGAAGAAUGGGAGAACUGAUUCCCUAGCAAGAUGGUUCUCUUUUCUUGUAGUCGAGUUCAAGAUCCUCGGUUACUGAUGGAAAAUCAUCUAGCAUUUGUUACGGAUCGAGGUCAGAACUGCAUAUCUGAGACACAUUUAGAAUGGUGACUCUGAUAAAACCAAGGUGGGGCAUUUUUCCCAUCUCCUUGCUACUGAUGAGGAUCCUGUGGAACACAGCUGUCUUCAUUACUGAGGGUCAUGCUGAGUGGAGGUGCAGGGAUUUUCAUUUCUUUCUUUCAACAUCUAACAAAAGGUAUCCAAAGAAUGUGGCUGAAGUUGUCUUCAUAUCUGGAGAUGAGUCUCAUAAAAAUGAGGUAAGAACCAUAAAUCAGGGGAAGCAAUUGGAAGUGGUGACUGCUGUUAUAUUAUUCCACUUGACUGAGUGCAAUUUUUAUUACUCACAUUUGCAAGAUGUGAGGACCUCACAAGGUUGAAAAUGUGAACUAUUUUUCUGUCAUUCAAUAAAAAAUCCAUAGAAAUAUUUGCA
rnacentral:lncRNA from 1 species